UGACCAACGUACACAAGGAAGUCAUUGGAAAACGAGACGCGUCGCUUAACAUCAGAUCCGCUUCAUUCACCUUGAGGAUUCCUGUAGGAUCUUUUUGUAACAGUCACUUCAAAAAGUACUUCUGGUAUGCCUCCAGGAGCAGAAAAGCUGCAGAUAGCAAGCUCUGAAAAUCCUGCCAUACUAAAUGCACUGUGGAGCAUCUUCAACAUAUCCCAAUGUAAAAGGCUUUGCCCACCAGUCGGGCUUUGACGCAGUUGCAGUACCUACAGAAGCUGGACUUGAAUUGGUUCUCCGCGGUUUGACAAGACGUCAUGCAUGUCUUGGAGACAAUCAGGGAUCUGCUCAAGUUGUCCGAAUUGUCUCCCACAAGGACAUGGUUGGUACAGCAGGAUAACUGCAUUGUGACUGAAGUGACUGCUCAUGGAAAGAACCGAAAAGAACAUGGAACAGGUUUUGGAGACAGUCAAGGAUCUGCCGAAGUUGUCUGAACUUCCUCCCACAAUGACCUGGGUGGUACAGCUAAUUCACGGUGCAUGCAUCCGAUGUAACUUUACUAGGCACCUUUAGGAGCAAGACUCGGGUGACUGCUCUUUGAAAGGAAAAAGGACACGGAACAGGUCUUGGAGACAGUCAAGGAGCCCCCGGAGUUGUCUGAAUCUUGUCCCACAAUAAGUGUCUUGGUGGUACAGCUGGAUCACGGUGCUUGCAUCAUGGGUGUCG